UAUCUUCAGACUAAUAUACUGAAAUUUCAAAAGAAAGAAAGCACCUCUCAGCAAAAAUAAACUAAAAAAAUAUGUAUGGAAAUUCAUUCAUCAAUACCUGAAAAAACAGAUUCUGGUUUUGCUGGCGUGAAGCUGAACAUACUGAGGAACUACUGAUGCUCCCUUCACUUGGUAAAAUUCUAAGCACUCCAGGGCUGCAGAUACUGAUAUAUGGAGUAUGGUAUGACAUGCUGCUGACUCUCUAAUUAUGGAAUACAGAUGUACAAUGUCAUCAACAAGUGUGAGAUCAUCCUUCAUAUGUUACAGAAGUCAUGGAUGAAAAAUCCCUUUUUCACAAUCCAUCAGAACAGCCAGUUUAGCAGAAAGUGAUGAUUACCUGCACCUGUUUCAAGCUGAGAGCAAGUGAUGCAGUUAAGAAGCAAAAUGCCUCAUUAGAACACAUUUCAGAUUUCUGAAGAGAAGGUGUCACAAUCAUAGACCUGCCCACACCUUAAGCAACUAUGUGCAGGAGGGACUUUAAACCUUGUGGUUCAGCCUUGGAGACACCAUAGCUUGAUUAUGUCACAAGAGCCAGUGUCACAUGGAAUGAAGGCAGAUUACAGUGAAGUCAUUCCACUUGUGAGGAAGUCACUGAAAACA